AGAGAUCAUGGCUCAGAGCGAACGCUGGCGGCGUACUUAACACAUGCAAGUCGAACGGGGAGCUUCGGUGUAGCAAUACAUCGGAGCUUCUAGUGGCGUACGGGUGAGUAACACGUGGGCAACUUGCCCUAGAGACCGGGAUACCCUCUCGAAAGGGAGGCUAAUACCGGAUACGUUCUUCGGGUCGCAAGAUCUGGAGAGGAAAGGUGGCGCAAGCUACCGCUCUUGGAGAGGCUCGCGGCCUAUCAGCUAGUUGGUGAGGUAAUGGCUCACCAAGGCUAUGACGGGUAGCUGGUCUGAGAGGACGACCAGCCACACGGGAACUGAGACACGGUCCCGACUCCUACGGGAGGCAGCAGUGGGGAAUUUUCCGCAAUGGGCGAAAGCCUGACGGAGUGACGCCGCGUGGGGGACGAAGGCCUUCGGGUUGUAAACCCCUGUCAGAGGGAAAGAAGGGUGUCGGCGUGAUAACCGCCGGCACUUGACGGUACCUUCAGAGGAAGCCCCGGCCAACUCUGUGCCAGCAGCCGCGGUAAGACAGAGGGGGCAAGCGUUGCUCGGAAUCACUGGGCGUAAAGGGCGCGUAGGCGGGAUGGCAAGUCGGUCGUGAAAUCUCUCGGCUCAACCGAGAAACGUCGGCCGAUACUGCCGUUCUUGAGGGAUGCAGAGGAGACUGGAAUUCCCGGUGUAGCGGUGAAAUGUGUAGAGAUCGGGAGGAACACCGGUGGCGAAGGCGGGUCUCUGGGCAUUUCCUGACGCUGAGGCGCGAAAGCGUGGGGAGCAAACGGGAUUAGAUACCCCGGUAGUCCACGCUGUAAACGAUGACGACUAAGUGUGGGGGGGGGUUAGUCCCUUCCGUGCCGCAGCUAACGCAUUA
rnacentral:rRNA from 1 species